CUCAAACUCCUGACCUCAGGUGAUCUGACCGCCUUGGCCUCCGAAAGUGCUGAGAUUACAGUUGCGAGCCACUGUGCGUGGCCAGAACUUUAUAAUAAGAGACUUGAAGCUGGGUGUGACGGUGCACACCUCUAGUCCCAGCUACUCGGGAGGCCAAGACAGAAGGAUCACCUUGAGGCCAGGAGUUUAAGGCCAGCCUGGGCAACAUAGCAAAACCUAGUCCCUAAAAUUAAAAAAAAAAAAAAAAAAAAAAGGAAAAUAAAGGAGACUUGAAAUUUUUGAACUAAAUAGUGGUGAUGGCUACACAUUGUGAAUGUAAUUAACACCACUGAGUUAAACACUUAAAAUGGUUAAAAUGGCAAAUUGUAUGUUAUACCUAUUUUACUACAAUAAAAAGUAUAAAAAAGAGAAGAUAUUUAGGUGACUUACAGCAACCAAUUGCAACAAAACAAAAUGUUAAGAAAUGAUCUUUUUAUGAGGCAAUUGGAAAUUUGAACACUGAUCAACUAUAGGAUGAUUGGAAUUAUUAAUUUUUAAAGGUGUGAUAAGAUACUGCACUUGGCUGGGCACAGUGGCACAUGCCUGUAAUCCCAGCUACUUGGCAGGCUGAGGUGGGAGAAUCGCUUGAGCUCAGGAGUUCGAGACCAGCCUGGGCAACGUGGCGAAAUCCCCGUCUUUACAAAAACAAACAAACAAACAAAAAAGAUAUUGCAGUUGUGUUGUAAGCGUCCUUAUCUUUCAGAGCUACAUAGUGGAAUGUUUAUGGAAUAUUUAGGAUAAAUGAUAUAGGCAUUUGGGAUUUGCUGCAAAAUGACCCAGAGGCAGGGGUCAGGGGGAGAGGUAGAGAUGAGACAAGAGGUAGAGGGGAGAGGUAGAGGUAGCCACGAGCUGAUAAUUACAGACAAGAGAUGCGGAGUAUGUGGGGGCUCAUUAUCCUGCAUAGUCUAUCUUUGUAUAUCUUUGAACUUUUCAAGAAUAAAAAAGCUUAAAAAGUAUACAUGGCCUGGUCCUACCAGAGACUCACCCAAUGCCAGCCUCCAGCCAGGGAGAGCCAAGUUUGCAUUUUCACACGCAUCUCACACUCCUCUGCACUCUCAACUUGGAGCGCUCCAAACAGGGAAACCCCAAGCCUUGCUGGCUUCUGCCAACCCCCUGAGCAGAAGCAUGGGUCCCCCUGAUCACCACCUCACCACCCUCAUCC
rnacentral:lncRNA from 1 species